rnacentral:lncRNA from 1 species
GCCUGUUUGUCUGUGUGGGUGGUCAUGUAUGAGUCUUUGUCUGUCUUCUCCUUAUGUAAUGUCAGGUGGAAGUUCGGAGCCAAGCGCUGCAGAGGCCAACCCACAUCCUUCUCCCACGCAGCUCUGUGAAGCAGUUACACACAUCAAUCGGGGAAAACGCUCAGCGCUCAGCACCGUUGGAGCAGGCAUAAAGCUGCACUGUUCGGAAGAAGUGAGAUUAUCUUUCCUUACAGCUACGACGCUGCACUGCUCUCGACAUAGCCUGCUUUUCCCCCCAUUUACCUGGGCGGCUGCUGCUGUUUCUGCUGCUGCUGGGGCUGCUGCAGUCUCACUGCCUGCGCUUCACCCUGGCUUGUCUGACUCGAGACUCACUUGUCUGCACAUUGCUAAGGAAGAAGAGUGA